UGCUUCUCUGCUUCCUCCAGGCAGUCUGUAUUUUGUAUAUUUGCUAAUUCACCCUGUGGCAGUCUUCUGAUUCCUAUCUGCAAAAGUUCUAAGAAGGGGAAAGGGGAGAGUUCUUAGAGCUUGAUCAGUAUGUUCAGUUGAAUUCAAGAUUGAGAGAAAAGGAAUAUAUAAUGAACUUACCUAUAAGGGUGAGUUGUAAAAUGAGAGCUCCCAGGGGCAAGGUAAUGAACUCUUUCUUCUUGACAUGUUUUGUGUGGGGAUGAAUAAAGAGGUUAAGACUCUAUAUAAUAACCAAGGUUUAACCAUGGGACAGGAUGAAAUAAUUUAAGAUAAUGGAGAAGAGCAUAGAGAUAAGAUUUCUGAUGCCCAGUGGCCACCAAGUUUUCUCUCUUCCCUAAAGGAAGAACCAAGAUAGUCUGUCCCUAAAAGCAUAUGCCAGGGCAGAAAAAGAAAGGACAUCCAGAUUGGAAAGGAAAAAGUAAAUCCAUCUCUGUAUGCAAAUGACAUGAUUUGGUGUAUAAGAAAAUCCUAAAGAAUCCAUACAGAAAAAACUAUUAGCUAAUAAAUUCAGCAAGGUAGCAGAAUACAAGAUCAUACCUAAAAAUCAAUUGUAUUUCUAUAAACUAGGAAUGAAUAAUAAAUGAAGAAAAGAAUUCCACUUAUAAUAGCAUCAAAAGGAGUAAGAUAAAUAGAUAUAAUUCUAACAAAAGAAGCCCACAAGAAUGGUACAUUGUUAACUACAAAAUGUCAUUGAAAGAAAUUAAAGAAGGGGUGCCUGGCAGGCUCAGUAGAGCAUGUGACUCUUGAUCUCACGGUUGUGAGUUCGAGCCCCAUAUUGAGUGUAAAAAUUACUUAAAAAUAUAAUCUUAAAAAGAAAGGCUUAAAAAGAUCUAAAUAAAUGGAAAGAAAUUUCAUGUUCAUGAAUUGGAAGAUGGAAGUUGAUAAUACUCCCCAAAUUUAUCUACAGAUUGAAUGCAAUUCUUACCAAAAUUCCAAUUGCCUUUUUUAGCAGAAAUUGGCAAGCUGAUCCUAAAAUUCAUAUGGAAAUUCAAGUGACCCAGAAUAGUCCAAACAAACUUGAAAAAGAAGCACACGCUGGAGGACUGACUUCAAAAUUACUUCAGAGGCUCAAUAAUCAAGACAAUGUAGUACCAGCAUAAGGAGAGAUAUAUACAUCAAUGGAGUAAAAUUGAGAAUAUAGAAAUAUACCUAUAUAUUCAUAGUCAAUUGACCUUUGACAAAAAUACUUAGACAAUUUCAAUGAAGAAAGAAUAGUUUUUUUCAACAAAUGGUAUUGGGACACCUGAAUAUCCACAUGCAAAAGAAUGUGGUUGGCCUACUACCUCACAUCAUAUAUAAAUAUUAACUCAAAAUGGGUGAGCCAAAACUAUAAGACUCUUAAGAGAAAACAAAUGUGUAAAUCUCUAUUACCUUGGUUUAGGCAAUGGUUUCUUAGAUAAAAUACCAAAAGCCUAAGCAACAAAAGAAAAAAAAAAUUGGACUUGAUCAAAAUUUAAAAAUAAAAAAAAGGUACUAUCAAGAAAGUAAAAAAGACAGUCCACAGAAUUAGAAGAAAUAUUUGCAAAUCUAUAUCUGAUAAGAGACUAGUACCCAGAAUAUAAAAGGAAGUCUUACAGGAACACCUGGCUAGCUUAGUAGGUAGAACAUGUGACUUGAUUUCCAGGUUGUGAGUUUAAGCCCCACAUUGGGUAUAGAGCUUACUU
rnacentral:lncRNA from 1 species